CCUACGGGCGGCAGCAGUGGGGAAUAUUGCACAAUGGGCGAAAGCCUGAUGCAGCAACGCCGCGUGAAGGAAGAAGGGUUUCGGCUCGUAAACUUCUAUUAACAGGGACGAAAGAAAUGACGGUACCUGAAUAAGAAGCCCCGGCCAACUACGUGCCAGCCGACGCGGUAAUACGGAGGGGGCAAGCGUUAUCCGGAAUUACUGGGGGUAAAGGGUGAGUAGGCGGCAUGGUAAGCCAGAUGCGAAAGCCUGGGGCUUAACCGGAGGAUUGCAUGUGGAACUAGCAACCUAGAGUGCAGACAAGGAAAGCGGAAUUCGUAGUGUAGCGGUGAAAUGCGUAGAUAUUAGGAAGAACACCAGUGGCGAAGGCGGCUGUCUGGACUGAAACUGACGCUGAGGCACGAAAGCGUGGGGAGCGAACAGGAUUAGAUACCCUAGUAGUC
rnacentral:rRNA from 1 species